rnacentral:rRNA from 1 species
GUUUAAUUCGAGGCAACGCGAAGAACCUUACCAGGGUUUGACAUGUCGGUGGUAGGGAGAUGAAAGUCGACUGACCCUUCGGGGAGCCGACACAGGUGCUGCAUAUCUGUCGUCAGCUCGGAUCGUGAGGUGUUAGGUUAAGUCCGGUAACGAGCGCAACCCUUCAUCUUAGUUACAUGUGUCUAACGGGACUGCCGGUUUAAUGCCGGAGGAAGGUGGGGAUGACGUCAAGUCAGCAUGCCCUUUAUAUCCAGGUCAUCACACCCGCUACAAUGGCCGGUUCAAUGGGUUGCCAACCCGCGAGGUGGAGCUAAUCCUCUAAAGCCGUUCUCAGUUCCGAUUGUCGCCUCCAACCCGCCUGCAUGAAGGUGGAGUUGCUAGUAACCGCAGGUCAGCUAUACUGCGGUGAAUUCGUUCCCGGACCUUGUACACCCCGCCCGUCACCUCAUGGGAGCGGGUACCACCUGAAGCCGGUGGGCUAACCGUAAGGAGGCAACCGUCGAAGGUGGGACUGGUGACUGGGAGGAAGUCGUAACAAGGUAGCCGUA